rnacentral:tRNA from 1 species
GGGUCGUUAGCUCAGUUAGGUAGAGCACCGGCCUUUUAAGCCGGGGGUCGUAGGUUCGAUUCCUACACGACCCA